CCUACGGGAGGCAGCAGUGGGGGAUAUUGCACAAUGGCGGGAACUCUGAUGCAGCGACGCGUGAACGAAGAAGUUAUUCGUAAUGUAAAGUUCUUUUAACAGGGAAGAAAGAGAAAUUUGACGGUACCUGAAGAAUAAGCUCCGGCUAACUACGUGCCAGCAGCCGCGGUAAUACGUAGGGAGCGUGCGUUAUCCGGAAUUAUUGGGCGUAAAGGGUGCGUAGAUGGCAUAGGAAGUCUUUUGUAAAAAUGCUGGGCGAAACCCAGUAGGGCAAAAGAUACUGCAAAGCUAGAGUAUGACAGAGGCAAGUGGAACUACAUGUGUAGCGGUAAAAUGCGUAAAUAUAUGUAAGAACACCAGUGGCGAAGGCGGCUUGCUGGGUCGAUACUGACAUUGAGGCACGAAAGCGUGGGGAGCAAACAGGAUUAGAUACCCUAGUAGUC
rnacentral:rRNA from 1 species